rnacentral:rRNA from 1 species
AGCGAACGUUAGCGGCGGGCCUAACACAUGCAAGUCGAACGCGAAAGGUCUUCGGACUGAGUAGAGUGGCGCACGGGUGAGUAACACGUAGGUAAUCUACCCUUUGGCGGGGGAUAACGUUCCGAAAGGAGCGCUAAUACCGCAUAAGACCACGGAGUCUCCGGACGCUGUGGGAAAAGGUGGCCUCUUCUUGAAAGCUACCACCGAAGGAUGAGCCUGCGUCCCAUCAGCUAGUUGGUAAGGUAAUGGCUUACCAAGGCGAAGACGGGUAGCUGGUUUGAGAGAAUGAUCAGCCACACUGGCACUGGAACACGGCCCAGACUCCUACGGGAGGCAGCAGUGGGGAAUUUUGGACAAUGGGGGAAACCCUGAUCCAGCCAUGCCGCGUGAGCGAUGAAGGCCUUAGGGUUGUAAAGCUCUUUCAGGGGGGAAGAUAAUGACUGUACCCCCAGAAGAAGCCCCGGCUAACUCCGUG